CACAUUUAAACAGCAGUGCUGAGCCUUUAUGUAGUUCCAGCCCAGAGGAUUGACCAGCUGUCCACUCUUGCUGACCCUCCACAUGCCGUUCCUUCUAUUUUUCAAGGAUACAGAACCAAUGGCUCUACCCAACAUAUUCUUCUCACCACAGAUGACAAAGACACAAGGAGCCAAGACAGAUCAUUCAAGCAUAUUCAUUGCCUCUAUCUUCAUCCCAUUAAAUAACAUCCCGCCAACCAAAGCAAGUUAUCUGCAUAAGAAUAAAUAUUCCACCUACUCUACUGCAAGGCCCUGCAAGAGUCAUGAGACAAAAGGAUCCUCUGUGGACAGCACCCAAGAUGGAAACAACUGACAGUCUAUGGCCAGGGCUAUACUCUGGUGAAACUGAAAGGUGUCUGCAUGGAAGUGUCUGACUACCACCAUCCACUCAGGCAAAUGCAUUUGUUUCCCUCUAUUCAUUAUUAGAAGAGAGGAGAUUACAUACCAGACAUAUACCAAUAGGUUUUCUCUUCAUAAUACCUACGUCAUCUAGUAGCAUAACAUAAGGCAGAAUCCUUCAAAGGAUCCUGAAAAACAACUUUAAUCGGGGUUAUACUGUGUUAAGGGUCCUCAGAGCUGCAUGAGUCUUACCUGUAAAGAGGACCCAGAGGCUCACAACAUGAAAUGACUCUGGGAUGUGUAAAAAGCAUUGAUCUACAAGAGACAUUGAAAUCAUUUAGUAUAAAACCUUCACUUUAUGGAUAAAGAACAGUAGGAUGGAGGUUGCAGUGAGCCAAGAUCACUACCCAAGACGUUACAUCUUGGAGUUCCGUGGCUUGUUACGCAUUGCUGAACAUUCAAUGCCCAGGAUACAAUACUCUGACCAUGAAAAACAAUCAAGUGAAGCCUAGGACAACUUGAGCAACCAAAAGAAGUAAUAAUAUCUGCUAUGGUUUAAAUGUGUUCUCCAAAUUUCAUGUGUUGGAAACUCAAUACCCAAGUAUAUAUCCUGAUAGCAUUUGGAGGUAGAGUAUUUAAAGGUAAUUAGGAUGAUAAAGUCAUCCAGAUGGGGAACCCAUGAUGAGGUUGAUUGCUUUGUUCAGGAACAGAGACCUGAGCUGGCACACAUUUGCCCUUUUGCCAUGUGAUGCUUCUGCCAUGUUAUGAUGCUGCAAGAAAAGCCUCACCAGAUGUGAUCUCUCUACUUUGGACUUCCCAGCCUCCAGAACUGUAAAACAUAAAUUGAUUUUCUUUAUAAAUUGUUCAGUCUGUGGUACUCUGUUAUAGCAACAGAAAAUGGACUAAGAAAAUAUCCAAAAAAACAUCUCCAGAAAGACUCUAGAUAGUAGAAUUAUCAGACACAGGCUUAAAAAUAAUUAUAUUUGCCUGCUUACAGUUAUAAAAGACAAUUUUAACAGAGGAUUGAAAAGAAA
rnacentral:lncRNA from 10 species